GUUUGAUCAUGGCUCAGGAUGAACGCUAGCUACAGGCUUAACACAUGCAAGUCGAGGGGCAGCAUGAACUUAGCUUGCUAAGUUUGAUGGCGACCGGCGCACGGGUGAGUAACGCGUAUCCAACCUUCCGUACACUCAGGGAUAGCCUUUCGAAAGAAAGAUUAAUACCUGAUGGUAUGAUGAGAUUGCAUGGUAACAUCAUUAAAGAUUCAUCGGUGUACGAUGGGGAUGCGUUCCAUUAGAUAGUAGGCGGGGUAACGGCCCACCUAGUCGACGAUGGAUAGGGGUUCUGAGAGGAAGGUCCCCCACAUUGGAACUGAGACACGGUCCAAACUCCUACGGGAGGCAGCAGUGAGGAAUAUUGGUCAAUGGGCGCGAGCCUGAACCAGCCAAGUAGCGUGAAGGAUGAAGGUCCUACGGAUUGUAAACUUCUUUUAUAAGGGAAUAAAGUCACCCACGUGUGGGUGUUUGUAUGUACCUUAUGAAUAAGCAUCGGCUAACUCCGUGCCAGCAGCCGCGGUAAUACGGAGGAUGCGAGCGUUAUCCGGAUUUAUUGGGUUUAAAGGGAGCGUAGACGGGUCGUUAAGUCAGCUGUGAAAGUUUGCGGGCUCAACCUGUAAAAUUGCAGUUGAUAC
rnacentral:rRNA from 1 species